UACGAAGGGGGCUAGCGUUGUUCGGAAUUACUGGGCGUAAAGCGUGCGCAGGCGGCUGCUCAAGUCAGGGGUGAAAGCCCAGAGCUCAACUCUGGAAUUGCCUUUGAUACUGAGAGCUUGAGUCCGGGAGAGGUGAGUGGAACUGCGAGUGUAGAGGUGAAAUUCGUAGAUAUUCGCAGGAACACCAGUGGCGAAGGCGGCUCACUGGCCCGGUACUGACGCUGAGGUGCGAAAGCGUGGGGAGCAAACAGG
rnacentral:rRNA from 1 species